rnacentral:pre_miRNA from 1 species
AAUUCACGGGGACGAACCUCCUUCGUUGAAAGUUUGCUUUAUUCUUUUGAUAUAUCUAUCCAUGAUACAAGGAAGUAAUGCAUUUAAGUUCAAUCAAGCUUGGCCUUCAUCAGAAUUUCCGUUGACGGGACUCCACAGGAGGUACAACCUUUAAGUUGAUACUGAGGGAUGGAGGGAGGGUUGCCCCUGUUGAA